GGCUCUUUAGCUCAGUUGGUUAGAGCGCUACCCUCAUAAGGUAGAAGUCGAUUGUUCGAGUCAAUCAAGAGCCA
rnacentral:tRNA from 3 species